rnacentral:rRNA from 1 species
CCCUUCGGGGACACCUGUGUGACAGGUGCUGCAUGGUUGUCGUCAGCUCGUGUCGUGAGAUGUUGGGUUAAGUCCCGCAACGAGCGCAACCCUUGCCUUUAGUUGCCAGCAUUAAAUUGGGCACUCUAUAGGGACUACCGAGGAUAUCUCGGAGGAAAGUGGGGAUGACAUCUAAUCUCCACGCGCCUUAUGCUUAUGGCUACACACGUGCUACACUGGGUGGUACACAGGGCUGCCAAACCGCGAGGUGGAGCUAAUCCCUUAAAGCCAUUCUCAGUUCGGAUUGUAGGCUGAAACUCGCCUACAUGAAGCUGGAGUUACUAGUAAUCUCAGAUCAGAAUGGUGCGGUGAAUGGCUUCCCGGGCCUU